GUGCUCACUUCGGCAGCACAUAUACUAAAAUUAGAAUGAUACAGAGAAGAUUAUCAUGACCCUUGUGGAAGGAUGACAUGCAAAUUCAUGAAGCGUUCCAUAAAAAU